rnacentral:rRNA from 1 species
UGCUCCCUGAGAUAGCGGCGGACGGGUGAGUAAACGUGGGCAACCUGCCUAUAAGAGUGGGAUAACUUCGGGAACCGGAGCUAAUACCGGAUACGUUCUUUUUCGCAUGAGAGAGGAGGGAAAGACGGUUUACGCUGUCACUUAUAGAUGGGCCCGCGGCGCAUUAGCUAGUUGGUGAGGUAAUGGCUCACCAAGGCGACGAUGCGUAGCCGACCUGAGAGGGUGAUCGGCCACACUGGGACUGAGACACGGCCCAGACUCCUAC